UGAGUAAUGUCUGGGAAACUGCCUGAUGGAGGGGGAUAACUACUGGAAACGGUAGCUAAUACCGCAUAACGUCUUCGGACCAAAGUGGGGGACCUUCGGGCCUCAUGCCAUCAGAUGUGCCCAGAUGGGAUUAGCUAGUAGGUGGGGUAACGGCUCACCUAGGCGACGAUCCCUAGCUGGUCUGAGAGGAUGACCAGCCACACUGGAACUGAGACACGGUCCAGACUCCUACGGGAGGCAGCAGUGGGGAAUAUUGCACAAUGGGCGCAAGCCUGAUGCAGCCAUGCCGCGUGUAUGAAGAAGGCCUUCGGGUUGUAAAGUACUUUCAGCGAGGAGGAAGGCAUUAAGGUUAUAACCUUAGUGAUUGACGUUACUCGCAGAAGAAGCACCGGCUAACUUCGUGCCAGCAGCCGCGGAAUACGGAGGGUGGAAGCGUUAUCGGAAUACUGGGGCGUAAGCGCACGCAGGCGGUCUGCCAGUCCGAUGUGAAAUCCCCGGG
rnacentral:rRNA from 1 species